rnacentral:rRNA from 1 species
CCUACGGGAGGCAGCAGUGGGGAAUUUUGGACAAUGGGCGAAAGCCUGAUCCAGCCAUUCCGCGUGAGUGAAGAAGGCCUUCGGGUUGUAAAGCUCUUUCGCAAGGGAAGAAAACUUAUAUUCUAAUAAAGUAUGAGGAUGACGGUACCUUGAUAAGAAGCACCGGCUAACUACGUGCCAGCAGCCGCGGUAAUACGUAGGGUGCGAGCGUUAAUCGGAAUUACUGGGCGUAAAGCGUGCGCAGGCGGUUUUGAAAGUCAGAUGUGAAAUCCCCGAGCUCAACUUGGGAACUGCGUUUGAAACUCCAAAGCUAGAGUAUAGGAGAGGGGGGUAGAAUUCCACGUGUAGCAGUGAAAUGCGUAGAGAUGUGGAGGAAUACCAAUGGCGAAGGCAGCCCCCUGGCCUAAUACUGACGCUCAUGCACGAAAGCGUGGGGAGCAAACAGGAUUAGAUACCCUGGUAGUCCACGCCCUAAACGAUGUCUACUAGUUGUUGGUGGAGUAAAAUCCAUUAGUAACGCAGCUAACGCGUGAAGUAGACCGCCUGGGGAGUACGGUCGCAAGAUUAAAACNCAAAGGAAUUGACGGCUGAGACGNGCGAGACGACGACGAGGAGGAGG